AAGUCGUAACAAGGUUUAUGUGUUUAACGUUGUGAGAUAUGAUCCUUCCGCCGUGCAGCAGACAAUACCCCAACUAGUAGUUGUUAUUAACUUCUAGGUAAUUCAUUUUACUGAUGAAGUUUUUAACAAUGAACUAUUAACCAAUUUAACCCUAUAACUAAAACUUGACUAAUCUUCAUAAUCUUAUCAACUGCUUUAGUGGUUAAUAAGCUUUACGAAAUAACGAACAACUCUUAGCAAUGGAUAUCUUGGGUCAUAUAACGAUGAAGAACGCAGC
rnacentral:misc_RNA from 1 species